GGUUAAGCGACUAAGCGUACACGGUGGAUGCCCUGGCAGUCAGAGGCGAUGAAGGACGUGCUAAUCUGCGAUAAGCGUCGGUAAGGUGAUAUGAACCGUUAUAACCGGCGAUUUCCGAAUGGGGAAACCCAGUGUGAUUCGUCACACUAUCAUUAACUGAAUCCAUAGGUUAAUGAGGCGAACCGGGGGAACUGAAACAUCUAAGUACCCCGAGGAAAAGAAAUCAACCGAGAUUCCCCCAGUAGCGGCGAGCGAACGGGGAGCAGCCCAGAGCCUGAAUCAGUGUGUGUGUUAGUGGAAGCGUCUGGAAAGGCGCGCGAUACAGGGUGACAGCCCCGUACACAAAAAUGCACAUGCUGUGAGCUCGAUGAGUAGGGCGGGACACGUGGUAUCCUGUCUGAAUAUGGGGGGACCAUCCUCCAAGGCUAAAUACUCCUGACUGACCGAUAGUGAACCAGUACCGUGAGGGAAAGGCGAAAAGAACCCCGGCGAGGGGAGUGAAAAAGAACCUGAAACCGUGUACGUACAAGCAGUGGGAGCACGCUUAGGCGUGUGACUGCGUACCUUUUGUAUAAUGGGUCAGCGACUUAUAUUCUGUAGCAAGGUUAACCGAAUAGGGGAGCCGAAGGGAAACCGAGUCUUAACUGGGCGUUAAGUUGCAGGGUAUAGACCCGAAACCCGGUGAUCUAGCCAUGGGCAGGUUGAAGGUUGGGUAACACUAACUGGAGGACCGAACCGACUAAUGUUGAAAAAUUAGCGGAUGACUUGUGGCUGGGGGUGAAAGGCCAAUCAAACCGGGAGAUAGCUGGUUCUCCCCGAAAGCUAUUUAGGUAGCGCCUCGUGAAUUCAUCUCCGGGGGUAGAGCACUGUUUCGGCAAGGGGGUCAUCCCGACUUACCAACCCGAUGCAAACUGCGAAUACCGGAGAAUGUUAUCACGGGAGACACACGGCGGGUGCUAACGUCCGUCGUGAAGAGGGAAACAACCCAGACCGCCAGCUAAGGUCCCAAAGUCAUGGUUAAGUGGGAAACGAUGUGGGAAGGCCCAGACAGCCAGGAUGUUGGCUUAGAAGCAGCCAUCAUUUAAAGAAAGCGUAAUAGCUCACUGGUCGAGUCGGCCUGCGCGGAAGAUGUAACGGGGCUAAACCAUGCACCGAAGCUGCGGCAGCGACGCUUAUGCGUUGUUGGGUAGGGGAGCGUUCUGUAAGCCUGUGAAGGUGUACUGUGAGGUAUGCUGGAGGUAUCAGAAGUGCGAAUGCUGACAUAAGUAACGAUAAAGCGGGUGAAAAGCCCGCUCGCCGGAAGACCAAGGGUUCCUGUCCAACGUUAAUCGGGGCAGGGUGAGUCGACCCCUAAGGCGAGGCCGAAAGGCGUAGUCGAUGGGAAACAGGUUAAUAUUCCUGUACUUGGUGUUACUGCGAAGGGGGGACGGAGAAGGCUAUGUUGGCCGGGCGACGGUUGUCCCGGUUUAAGCGUGUAGGCUGGUUUUCCAGGCAAAUCCGGAAAACUAAGGCUGAGGCGUGAUGACGAGGCACUACGGUGCUGAAGCAACAAAUGCCCUGCUUCCAGGAAAAGCCUCUAAGCAUCAGGUAACAUCAAAUCGUACCCCAAACCGACACAGGUGGUCAGGUAGAGAAUACCAAGGCGCUUGAGAGAACUCGGGUGAAGGAACUAGGCAAAAUGGUGCCGUAACUUCGGGAGAAGGCACGCUGAUAUGUAGGUGAAGUCCCUCGCGGAUGGAGCUGAAAUCAGUCGAAGAUACCAGCUGGCUGCAACUGUUUAUUAAAAACACAGCACUGUGCAAACACGAAAGUGGACGUAUACGGUGUGACGCCUGCCCGGUGCCGGAAGGUUAAUUGAUGGGGUCAGCGCAAGCGAAGCUCUUGAUCGAAGCCCCGGUAAACGGCGGCCGUAACUAUAACGGUCCUAAGGUAGCGAAAUUCCUUGUCGGGUAAGUUCCGACCUGCACGAAUGGCGUAAUGAUGGCCAGGCUGUCUCCACCCGAGACUCAGUGAAAUUGAACUCGCUGUGAAGAUGCAGUGUACCCGCGGCAAGACGGAAAGACCCCGUGAACCUUUACUAUAGCUUGACACUGAACAUUGAGCCUUGAUGUGUAGGAUAGGUGGGAGGCUUUGAAGUGUGGACGCCAGUCUGCAUGGAGCCGACCUUGAAAUACCACCCUUUAAUGUUUGAUGUUCUAACGUUGACCCGUAAUCCGGGUUGCGGACAGUGUCUGGUGGGUAGUUUGACUGGGGCGGUCUCCUCCUAAAGAGUAACGGAGGAGCACGAAGGUUGGCUAAUCCUGGUCGGACAUCAGGAGGUUAGUGCAAUGGCAUAAGCCAGCUUGACUGCGAGCGUGACGGCGCGAGCAGGUGCGAAAGCAGGUCAUAGUGAUCCGGUGGUUCUGAAUGGAAGGGCCAUCGCUCAACGGAUAAAAGGUACUCCGGGGAUAACAGGCUGAUACCGCCCAAGAGUUCAUAUCGACGGCGGUGUUUGGCACCUCGAUGUCGGCUCAUCACAUCCUGGGGCUGAAGUAGGUCCCAAGGGUAUGGCUGUUCGCCAUUUAAAGUGGUACGCGAGCUGGGUUUAGAACGUCGUGAGACAGUUCGGUCCCUAUCUGCCGUGGGCGCUGGAGAACUGAGGGGGGCUGCUCCUAGUACGAGAGGACCGGAGUGGACGCAUCACUGGUGUUCGGGUUGUCAUGCCAAUGGCACUGCCCGGUAGCUAAAUGCGGAAGAGAUAAGUGCUGAAAGCAUCUAAGCACGAAACUUGCCCCGAGAUGAGUUCUCCCUGACUCCUUGAGAGUCCUGAAGGAACGUUGAAGACGACGACGUUGAUAGGCCGGGUGUGUAAGCGCAGCGAUGCGUUGAGCUAACCGGUACUAAUGAACCGUGAGGCUUAACCUU
rnacentral:rRNA from 1 species